rnacentral:rRNA from 1 species
UACGUAGGUGGCAAGCGUUGUCCGGAUUUACUGGGCGUAAAGAGCGCGCAGGCGGUCGUUCAAGUCGCGUGUGAAAGCCCCCGGCUCAACUGGGGAGGGUCACGCGAUACUGAUCGACUCGAAGGCAGGAGAGGGUAGUGGAAUUCCCGGUGUAGUGGUGAAAUGCGUAGAUAUCGGGAGGAACACCAGUGGCGAAGGCGACUACCUGGCCUGUUCUUGACGCUGAGACGCGAAAGCGUGGGGAGCGAACCGG